UUCCGCCUACGGGACGCAGCAGUGAGGAAUAUUGGUCAAUGGGCGGGAGCCUGAACCAGCCAAGUCGCGUGAGGGAUGACGGUCCUACGGAUUGUAAACCUCUUUUGCCGGGGAGCAAGCGUGCGUUCGUGAACGCGCGUCGAGAGUACCCGGAGAAAAAGCAUCGGCUAACUCCGUGCCAGCAGCCGCGGUAAUACGGAGGAUGCGAGCGUUAUCCGGAUUUAUUGGGUUUAAAGGGUGCGUAGGCGAGAUGCCAAGUCAGCGGUAAAAAUGCGGUGCUCAACGCCGUCGAGCCGUUGAAACUG
rnacentral:rRNA from 1 species